rnacentral:piRNA from 1 species
UCAGGAGUGGGAGAAACCUUAGGCG